UACGAAGGGGGCUAGCGUUGUUCGGAAUUACUGGGCGUAAAGCGCACGUAGGCGGUCUUUUAAGUCGGUGGUGAAAUCCUGGAGCUCAACUCCAGAACUGCCUUCGAUACUGGAAGACUUGAGUCCGGGAGAGGUGAGUGGAACUGCGAGUGUAGAGGUGAAAUUCGUAGAUAUUCGCAAGAACACCAGUGGCGAAGGCGGCUCACUGGCCCGGUACUGACGCUGAGGUGCGAAAGCGUGGGGAGCAAACAGG
rnacentral:rRNA from 1 species